CAGUAGCCGCGGUAAUACGAAGGGUGCAAGCGUUACUCGGAAUUACUGGGCGUAAAGCGUGCGUAGGUGGUGGUUUAAGUCCGUUGUGAAAGCCCUGGGCUCAACCUGGGAAUUGCAGUGGAUACUGGGUCACUAGAGUGUGGUAGAGGAUAGUGGAAUUUCCGGUGUAGCAGUGAAAUGCGUAGAGAUCGGAAGGAAUAUCUGUGGCGAAGGCGACUAUCUGGGCCAACACUGACACUGAGGCACGAAAGCGUGGGGAGCAAACAGGAUUAGAUACCCCUGUAGUCCCUGUCUCUUAUAA
rnacentral:rRNA from 1 species